GGCUCAGGAUGAACGCUGGCGGCGUGCCUAAUACAUGCAAGUCGAGCGAACAGACGGAGGGAGCUUGCUCCUUUGACGUUAGCGGCGGACGGGUGGAGUAACACGUAGGUAACCUACCUAUAAGACUGGGAUAACUUCGGGAAACCGGAGCUAAUACCGGAUAAUAUUUCGAACCGCAUGGUUCGAUAGUGAAAGAUGGCUUUGCUAUCACUUAUAGAUGGACCUGCGCCGUAUUAGCUAGUUGGUAAGGUAACGGCUUACCAAGGCAACGAUACGUAGCCGACCUGAGAGGGUGAUCGGCCACACUGGAACUGAGACACGGUCCAGACUCCUACGGGAGGCAGCAGUAGGGAAUCUUCCGCAAUGGGCGAAAGCCUGACGGAGCAACGCCGCGUGAGUGAUGAAGGUCUUCGGAUCGUAAAACUCUGUUAUUAGGGAAGAACAAACGUGUAAGUAACUGUGCACGUCUUGACGGUACCUAAUCAGAAAGCCACGGCUAACUACGUGCCAGCAGCCGCGGUAAUACGUAGGUGGCAAGCGUUAUCCGGAAUUAUUGGGCGUAAAGCGCGCGUAGGCGGUUUUUUAAGUCUGAUGUGAAAGCCCACGGCUCAACCGUGGAGGGUCAUUGGAAACUGGAAAACUUGAGUGCAGAAGAGGAAAGUGGAAUUCCAUGUGUAGCGGUGAAAUGCGCAAGAGAUAUGGGAGGAACACCCAGGUGGCGAAGGCGACUUUCUGGUCUGUAACUGGACGCUGAUGUGGGAAAGCGUGGGGGAUCAAACCAGGAUUAGAUACCCUGGGUAGUCCACCCCGUAAAACGAUGAGUGCUAAGUGUUAGGGGGGUUUUCCCCCCUUAGUGCUGCAGCUAACGCAUUAAGCACCUCCCCCGGGGAGUACGACCCAAGGUUGAAACUCAAAGGAAUUGACGGGGGACCCGCACAAGCGGUGGAGCAUGUGGUUUAAUUUCGAAGCAACGCGAAGAACCCUUACCAAAUUCUUGACUUCCUUUGACCCCUUCUAGAGAUAGAAGUUUUCCCCUUCGGGGGACAAAAGUGACAGGUGGUGCAUGGUUGUCGUCAGCUCGUGUCGUGAGAUGUUGGGUUAAGUCCCGCAACGAGCGCAACCCUUAAGCUUAGUUGCCAUCAUUAAGUUGGGCACUCUAAG
rnacentral:rRNA from 1 species